UACGUAGGGCGCAAGCGUUAUCCGGAAUUAUUGGGCGUAAAGAGCUCGUAGGCGGUCUGUCGCGUCUGCUGUGAAAACCUGGGGCUUAACCCCGGGCCUGCAGUGGGUACGGGCAGACUAGAGUGCGGUAGGGGAGACUGGAAUUCCUGGUGUAGCGGUGAAAUUCGUAGAUAUCGAGAGGAACACCGGUGGCGAAGGCGGCCUUCUGGACAGUGACUGACGCUGAGACGCGAAAGCGUGGGAGCAAACAGG
rnacentral:rRNA from 1 species